rnacentral:rRNA from 1 species
GAUGAACGCUGGCGGCGUGCCUAAUACAUGCAAGUCGAGCGAACAGAUAAGGAGCUUGCUCCUUUGACGUUAGCGGCGGACGGGUGAGUAACACGUGGAUAACCUACCUAUAAGACUGGGAUAACUUCGGGAAACCGGAGCUAAUACCGGAUAACAUAUUGAACCGCAUGGUUCAAUAGUGAAAGGCGGCUUUGCUGUCACUUAUAGAUGGAUCCGCGCCGUAUUAGCUAGUUGGUAAGGUAACGGCUUACCAAGGCAACGAUACGUAGCCGACCUGAGAGGGUGAUCGGCCACACUGGAACUGAGACACGGUCCAGACUCCUACGGGAGGCAGCAGUAGGGAAUCUCCCGCAAUGGGCGAAAGCCUGACGGAGCAACGCCGCGUGAGUGAUGAAGGUCUUCGGAUCGUAAAACUCUGUUAUCAGGGAAGAACAAAUGUGUAAGUAACUGUGCACAUCUUGACGGUACCUGAUCAGAAAGCCACGGCUAACUACGUG